UACGUAGGGGGCAAGCGUUGUCCGGAUUUAUUGGGCGUAAAGAGCGUGUAGGCGGCUAGGUAGGUCCGUUGUGAAAACUCGAGGCUCAACCUCGAGACGUCGAUGGAAACCAUCUGGCUAGAGUCCGGAAGAGGAGAGUGGAAUUCCUGGUGUAGCGGUGGAAAUGCGCAGAUAUCAGGAAGAACACCCGUGGCGAAGGCGGCUCUCUGGUACGUGGCUGACGCUGAGACGCGAAAGCGUGGGGAGCGAACAGG
rnacentral:rRNA from 1 species